CUGCCGCGCCGUGAGGCGAUUCCCGACGGAUGAAGGCGCUCGCCGGCGCGGCCGUCGCCGGGAGACCGGGCGGGACCGGCCGGGUUCGGCCCGCGGCUCUUGCCCGGAGCUCCUUCCCGGGGCUCUGCGCCGGGGAUUUUUCCCGAGGCUCUUUGCCAGGGCUCUCGGUGGCCGCGGGCGCUGCGAGGCGGCAGCGAGACACCUCCGCCAUGGCGGCGGGAGGCACCGCCGACUGCGCGCUGCAGCCUGAGCUACAGGAAGCAAUUUCUGAUUAUGCAACAAGCAAGGAAAAAGAUGAAUAUCCAGACGACUUUGAAAGUGAUGAAGAUGGCAUGUUAAACGGUAUUGGGAAAGAAAGUAAUUCAGGUUCUACAAGCACUGGGAGAUCUGUUGCUGGGAGUCCUGUCUUGAAUGAUGAUGCUUUACAAAAAGCAGUAGAUUUGGAAAAGGAAGCUGCUGAUGACUUGAGUUUAUCCUUUCAUGAAAAGAAGCUUCAGCAAAUAAUGGUUUUAGAAGAUCAAGAUCAGAAGACUGUCAGCACCAGUGACUUGAAACUGGAGGACAAUGAUAGGAAAUCCCCUUCUGUUGACAGUUCAGAUGGAAUGAUGAAAAUAACAGAAGAGCAAAAAAUAGCUGAUACAAUGCAGGAGGUGUCAGUGAAUGAUCAAUCUGAGCACGGGGAGGCAAAAAACACAUCCAAGAACUCUGUCAAGAAACUAAGUGAAAUAAAGGAGAGAGUUCUACAAAACCCAAAGGCUUCUUUAUCUGACAGGUCUACAACUUCUGUGCAUUUAAAGAGAAAGGGGAAAGCUGUUCCAUCAACUUCACCUGUUUCAUCUCAGUAUCUGGGAUCAGUGAAGGUGUUGGAGGACAAAUGCGUGCAGAAGAAAAGUCCAGAAUUCAACAAAGUAGAUGAUUUAAGGGCAGCUGUUUAUCAGAACUGGUUGGAAAAGAAAAAGCUCCUUCUACUGGAAUUAAAGAGAAGUGAAAAGGAAAAAGCUGAAAUUCUAAGGAGCAAUACUGAAAAGAAAGAAGCACUUAAAAGAGAAGAAUCAAUUGCAUGUUAUGAAGCAUGGAAAAAAAAGAAAGAUAAAGAAGCAAGGAAGUUAAACGAAAAAAAAAAGCUUGAAGAACUUGAGGAAAAGAAACCAGCAGAACAGAAUAAAGAAAAAACAGAAGCAGCACAAGCGGCAUUCAAAAAAUGGAAAGAAAGAAAAGUGGAAUAUUUAAAAGAGCAAAGCAGGAAGGAAAAACAGUCUGAAAAAGUGAGGAAGAAGAUAGAAGAAGACCUAGUUGCUGAGAAGAGGAGAGUCAGUGUAUCAGCAGUUGAAAAAUGGAAUGAAAAGAAGGAAGAAUAUAUAAAAAAGAAGAAAGUAGAAAAGUUCCUAGAGAAAAGAAAGCGAGAAAUGCAACAGGCAAAGAAGGAAGAAAAAAGUGAAAAGGCUAUGGAGGAGUAUGAAAGAUGGCUGAGGUCAUUGUGUGAAUGUUUGAUAGCAUAAGAGCAUAGAGAAGAUUACUUUUUAAGCCUGGAAAUAAAUGCCCUGGAAAAGGCUACUAAUACUUGUAAAAUACUGGCAUAAAAAGGAUAAUCUUGAGGAAAACAAAAUGAGGACAGAACAGCUUGAGAAGUACCAAAAGAAGUUGCAGGCUGUCCAUGGGAAUGAAAUGAGUCCUCCCUGGAGACCACCUGGCAAAGUCACAUAUUCUAGUAAUUACUAAACAGUUUAUUGCCUUCCCAUAGAACAGAUAGUUUACAAAGUUCUGUCAAUAGCUAGUAGCACUUUUGUUACCAGCUGAUUUUCACUGAAUCCAUUAUAGGUGUUAAAUUAUUUAUUUUUAGUUUAUUUUAUAUCUGCAAUUUAAAUAAACCUGUUACUCAUUUGCAUUGCUUUAGAAAAUGUAAUAAUUUUUCUAAUUCCACAUUUCUAUUAGUUUUGCUAAAUUCCAUGUUAUGGCAUACCUUUUUGGUGAAAAUUUAUAUCUAGGAUACAUAAAUCUGGACUCUGGCAAUUUUUUUCACCCAAUAAGUAAUAGAAUGGUUAUUUUUAGGUUAUUAGACUACACUCUUAAUGAAUUAAUUCUUGAAGAAAUUAUAUGAGGAGGCCGUAGGAUAAGGAUGAUGGUAAGGAGAUGUUGGCUCUCUUGUGGUGAUAGAUAACAAAGGCUAAGGAGUAUGGAAGCGGAAUGUCAUUUUCAUACAGUAAUAUAUAAGAUACAGAGAAAAUAUAUAUUGCAGAUAGGUGAAUACAGGGUUUUCAUAAGCUCCAGGUCUGUUACUGGCUGUUGGCUGUUCCCUCAUGGCAGGCCAGACAUUUUUUCCAGCAGUAGUGGAGAAAAGAGAAUCUACUGCCAGCAGAAACUUUGAAGAAGCUGAGAAGAUGCCCAGCCAGAGCAGCUUCAGUGGCCCACGUAAGAGGUAGUAAAAUUACAGACAGCAGCAGGAGAGAUGACGAACUGCAGCCCUGGCAGAAUGCAAAAGAAUUGCCAAUUCAAAAGUGGCACGUCUAGAUUUUAUGAGAAAAUACUAAAUUACUUCAGGCCUUCAGAUUGGGGUGGUGUCAUGCAUCAUUGGUGCUCUGGGCUUUUAGCACUUGGAGCCUGGAAUUUGAGUUCAGUCUGUUAAGAAACUCCAGCUAUAGUAUCACGGGAGGAUGAAAUUUGUAGCAGGCAGCAGAGUUUAUUGUACAACAGACCUGAAGAGUCUGACAAGGCAGCCUGUGAGAGAGGGAUCAUCUGGAUCUUUAUUUUUGCAAUGUCCCACCAGAGGAAGCAAGGAUGGUCCCUAUGCUGACUUGAGGGGUGGAAAUGAAAAGUGUGGUAGGAUUAGUGGCAGAGAUCAAAGAGAGUUUGUCAGGUUCCUGUUCCUGAACUGAAUGCUGCAUCCUCACUAACUUUAAGCCUUUCUAUAACUGGAUAGAAGGUUUUGACAGAAGUGAGAAGAUGUGGGUGCCAUCUUUCAGAGGAAUGAGGAGAAGAUCACAAAUUCACAACUUCUCAAUUAGGAAAGGAUGCUGAAGUCUGUAGACAAGAGAAAACAGUUGACAUGUUUAACUUUUAUAAUAAAAUUUGGGGGGCUUCAUUUAAUGUUAUAUUGUAAAAAUUUGCACAUGUUGCAGCAUAACACAAAUGUCAUAGAAGAAUUAGAGCUGAGAAAUAUAAACAAAUGUACAUUAAUGUAUAAGAAUAUACAAAUAUCUGUAUAGAUGCUAUCUAUAUGUUUAUUGAUGAUAGAGGGAAAAUAUUUUCUAUUAAUAAAGUAUAUUUUAGUAAUA